UCUACCCACUGCUGGGGCAUAGCCCGGAGAAAUUCGGAUUAAUUCCCCAUAAUGCAGGGGUGCCACAUGGUACUAUUUGCUAAAGAUUUAUCGGCAGUGGAUGAGCAUGCGUCUGAUUAGCUAGUUGGUGAGGUAACGGCUCACCAAGGCGAUGAUCAGUAGCGGGUCUGAGAGGAUGAUCCGCCACACUGGCACUGAGAUACGGGCCAG
rnacentral:rRNA from 1 species